rnacentral:rRNA from 1 species
GUUUGAUUCCUGGCUCAGAUUGAACGCUGGCGGCAGGCCUAACACAUGCAAGUCGAGCGGCAGCACGGGUACUUGUACCUGGUGGCGAGCGGCGGACGGGUGAGUAAUGCCUAGGAAUCUGCCUAGUAGUGGGGGAUAACGUCCGGAAACGGGCGCUAAUACCGCAUACGUCCUACGGGAGAAAGUGGGGGAUCUUCGGACCUCACGCUAUUAGAUGAGCCUAGGUCGGAUUAGCUAGUUGGUGAGGUAAUGGCUCACCAAGGCGACGAUCCGUAACUGGUCUGAGAGGAUGAUCAGUCACACUGGAACUGAGACACGGUCCAGACUCCUACGGGAGGCAGCAGUGGGGAAUAUUGGACAAUGGGCGAAAGCCUGAUCCAGCCAUGCCGCGUGUGUGAAGAAGGUCUUCGGAUUGUAAAGCACUUUAAGUUGGGAGGAAGGGCAGUUACCUAAUACGUGAUUGUUUUGACGUUACCGACAGAAUAAGCACCGGCUAACUCUGUGCCAGCAGCCGCGGUAAUACAGAGGGUGCAAGCGUUAAUCGGAAUUACUGGGCGUAAAGCGCGCGUAGGUGGUUUGUUAAGUUGGAUGUGAAAGCCCCGGGCUCAACCUGGGAACUGCAUCCAAAACUGGCAAGCUAGAGUAUGGUAGAGGGUGGUGGAAUUUCCUGUGUAGCGGUGAAAUGCGUAGAUAUAGGAAGG